UACGAAGGGGGCUAGCGUUGUUCGGAAUCACUGGGCGUAAAGCGCACGUAGGCGGACUUUCAAGUCAGGGGGUGAAAUCCCGGGGCUCAACCUCGGAAUUGCCUUUGAUACUGUAGGUCUCGAGUCCGGAAGAGGUGGGUGGAAUUCCUAGUGUAGAGGUGAAAUUCGUAGAUAUUAGGAAGAACACCGGUGGCGAAGGCGGCCCACUGGUCCGGUACUGACGGCUGAGGUGCGAAAGCGUGGGGAGGC
rnacentral:rRNA from 1 species